CCUUAGAAUUUGAUCCUGGCUCAGGACGAACGCUGGCGGCGUGCCUAAUACAUGCAAGUAGAACGCUGAAGACUUUAGCUUGCUAAAGUUGGAAGAGUUGCGAACGGGUGAGUAACGCGUAGGUAACCUGCCUACUAGCGGGGGAUAACUAUUGGAAACGAUAGCUAAUACAGCAUAACAGCAUUUAACCCAUGUUAGAUGCUUGAAAGGAGCAAUUGCUUCACUAGUAGAUGGACCUGCGUUGUAUUAGCUAGUUGGUGAGGUAACGGCUCACCAAGGCGACGAUACAUAGCCGACCUGAGAGGGUGAUCGGCCACACUGGGACUGAGACACGGCCCAGACUCCUACGGGAGGCAGCAGUAGGGAAUCUUCGGCAAUGGGGGCAACCCUGACCGAGCAACGCCGCGUGAGUGAAGAAGGUUUUCGGAUCGUAAAGCUCUGUUGUAAGAGAAGAACGUGUGUGAGAGUGGAAAGUUCACACAGUGACGGUAACUUACCAGAAAGGGACGGCUAACUACGUGCCAGCAGCCGCGGUAAUACGUAGGUCCCGAGCGUUGUCCGGAUUUAUUGGGCGUAAAGCGAGCGCAGGCGGUUUAAUAAGUCUGAAGUUAAAGGCAGUGGCUUAACCAUUGUUCGCUUUGGAGACUGUUAGACUUGAGUGCAGAAGGGGAGAGUGGAAUUCCAUGUGUAGCGGUGAAAUGCGUAGAUAUAUGGAGGAACACCGGUGGCGAAAGCGGCUCUCUGGUCUGUAACUGACGCUGAGGCUCGAAAGCGUGGGGAGCAAACAGGAUUAGAUACCCUGGUAGUCCACGCCGUAAACGAUGAGUGCUAGGUGUUAGGCCCUUUCCGGGGCUUAGUGCCGCAGCUAACGCAUUAAGCACUCCGCCUGGGGAGUACGACCGCAAGGUUGAAACUCAAAUGAAUUGACGG
rnacentral:rRNA from 1 species